UGUGGCAGAAUAGUGCAAUAAAUUUAAGAUUUAUAUAUAAAUAAAUCUUUCUUUAGAA
rnacentral:tRNA from 2 species